UCUUCUCGAACGUUCAACGAGACGAUACGUCGGUUGCGUUUCGUUCUCGUUAAACGCAUAUUUCCAUACAUUUGUCACGCUUCAUUUGUCCGCGUCGAUCGCCUCUGUAUUACGUGGUCGUUUGUUCAAAGAGCAACAUCGAAACCGACGAAACCGUUUCGAUAGUAAUCGACGAUCACGCGCGUAUAGCGCGUUGCCGAUGAAAAGUUGCAAAAAAUUAUCCAGACAGAUACAAAACCGAGUGAAAAGUAUUCGGCGAAACGAAAGAAAAGUGGUUUGGCCGAAGCAACGUGUAACGCGACGAAAGUUUACGAUGGUGCGCGAUCUGAAAGUAUUAUGCUGCACCACGGGAGGUGCACGAUUCGACAGAAUCUAGCAUGGUACCGAAGAAGAGGGUACGAAGGGAGAAGAAAGUAAGUAAGAGGGAGGAGGAAGGUACGAGCGACCACGACGAAGGAGGAAAAGAGAAACAAGUAGACACCGAAAAAAGAAAGAUCGUAGGUAAAAAGCCGCGGUGGUGGUUCCUGAGUCUCGAAGACACGAGUCGUGGUAACAAAGGGCAAGCUUAUCUCGCGCACGCAUCAAAACCGGAACACGAGUCGACAUAGCAAGCAUAUUCAACAUACCACGAACCACAUAACGUACACAUGCAUAUCUCUACGAGUUCUCCUUCCUUUUUCCUUAGGUUCCAAUACGUUGAGUUAAGGCAUAAACCCAUUGUACCUUUGACUCUGCGCUGCGCGCACUAUCCGCGUGUUCAUCGGUCUCCGGAGAAGCGUUUUUUCAUAGUAUUUGGCGAAAGUAGAACGCUCCGUCGUGUUCGAAUAAAGAGAUAGAUAAUAAACAGACAUUGUCCGAAGGUUUUGAGAAGAUUGGUGAAACGUAGGUAUGUUUUUUUGUCAGUAGGCUAAAGAUAGAGGUGCUGUAGAGGACGAGAGUUACGGCAAAUUAGCGGAAAGCACUGGGUCACAGCUGGCCGAGCGCGCCCCAAUCUACGUCCUGUGAUUUAGUGGCGCGCGCUCGAACGACGCACAGACUUCAUUACUAAAUUACACAAUAGCCCAGCCGUCGGUGGAUCAAUUUUUUCGUGGUUUCACCGAAGCCUCGUUCAAUUACCGUGAUCCGUGGUUAAUCGCAGGGAUGCACGUUCCAGCCGAACUGCCGAUCGAUUCGAAACCAUCCGAAUACGCCAACUUUCUUCGGUUAAAUUAUCGUUGGAAACGUUCAAGGAUCGCGUGUAACGUUAAAAAAACGGACAUUUACGUACACGUACCGGUGGUAUGCGCUGCGAUUAACAUUUUUGUUACGCACGACGGUAGACGUUUGAAAAUUUCGAACAAUUUAUCCUUAUCUAUUGCAUCGUUAUAUACUUUUUUUUCCUUCCUACCAUUUUUCGUUGCUUUGGCUAUAUAUCGACGCAGUAAGUAGAAAAGAAACGAAUAGGACAAGAUAGAGAAAGAGCAAGGUUGCGGUAUUCGUUAUUUCGAUAAAACGGAUGGAACGAGUCGAGUUGUUGUCGACUACGAUUUAAUACCGUUCUUAGAGAAGCUGUUAACCGUUAAUUGAAGCAAACGAGCGAUAAUUGCCGCGUUACUGGCCACUUUAUAUCUCGUACGUACGUAGGUACGCGUAAAUCGUAGUAACGACGCGUCACGCGCAAUCACCCCGAUUAAUCACGGUCCGAACGAUUCCAACGAUUCGACUGUUGGUAACUCGCGAAUCGCCACGGAUAUCGCCACUUGGAUUCGCGCGAUUUUGCAUCGUAUUAUUAGGACGGAACCGUGUAACUUGGUCGGUUCGAGUAAUCUAUAGGCGCGUGACGAGAGAAGAAUCAAGGACGCGACGUAAGAUGAGAAAAAGCGAUAGGUAGAGGAACAGAGGGAGGCGGAGUAUUGGGAAUUAGCGUGAUCGAGAAACGAGCUCGUAAAUGAGACAGUCCAUACUCGUGUUUGCCGAUCCGUUGCGGUUUAGGGGUUGGUUGUGGUGGACUGAAAACGCGGGAGUCGAUGGUCGGGGAUAGCAGAGAGAAGCGGAGAGUAGGGACGACAAGGUUGAGAGCUAGCGCUUCGGGGUGUACGGGGUUGAAGCAGAGGGAGCCACACGGGUAUUAGCAUAUUAAUUUCGCAGAGACUGCGACGCGCAGAUAAAGCAUCUUAGGUAGGCGAACUUCGGUGAUGAAUCAAGCUCAUACCGCUGGUAAUUAUUCAGAAAGUUCAUCGCCAACGGGCGAUCCGCACGGGACGGAACGAAAUAAAAAUAUUUUUCUUUCCAGGACCUCCAGGUAACAUCGCUCAUCGUUAUCCUUCUUUUUCUUCGUCCCCGACGUUUCUUUCCUUCUUUCGUGAAAAAUCUGCCGCACCAAGGACGAAAAAAACGAAGAAAAAUGACGAAGACGGGAAAGGUAGUUACACGCAUUCGACGCGUUUACAUCCCGAGAGGAUGAGCGGGCUGGCGUGGAUCGAUCGGAAGGUUGAUAAACAUCGCGAUACGAUACGACUAUACAAAAGAUCGGACGACCAUUGGUACGAUUGCUUCAACAGAGAGCGGCAACUUCUGGCUGAUGGAGAAGCUUCGCUUUUCGUGGCUUAGGAGAAGCACUAUUCGCGCGUCCAUUUCGUCGCCAUUCAGCACUAUGUCGACAUCGACGUGACGUUGGCGCCGAUUCUCAAGGGAAACGCAUCGACGUCGAUUAUGUUUGCCCCAAAGACCAAACCGAAUACGUACACCGAAAUCUUCCAACCGACCGAAUCAAAUCUACCGCUUCGCCUCGUCCGACCGAAUAUCUCUGUUUACAUUCCCGACUGCCACUCUAAUUAAUUAUCAAACCGUCCCCAAUAAUGCACCACCCGAUGCUUCUUCAAACGCGCUACUUUCUCCCGGUCGCAGUCCCCCCUCUCUCCUCCCUCACCCCUUUUUAAUCGGAAAUCUUCUUUCAAACGGUUGCGUCGAUAAUCGUUACUUCGUUAUUCUCUCCACAUCACUGGAACCUUCCUACAGACGAUAAGAGUCAAGUAUAUAUCCACUUAGAAGAUAUCGGCAUAAAAUCGUACGUAUAUAUUUUAUAUCGAAUUCACAAGAAAAUUAUCUUCGCGAAACGUUUGAAAGUAAAAUUCGAUGAAAUUAGGAAGAUCGUUUAAUGGAUUACACUGUGUAUAAAUUGGUAAAAUUAAAAUAGAGUAGCGACGCGUAUCUGUAAGUACGUACGUGUUGCAUAUUUCGACAAAAGAGGAAACUCGAAUACGAGAGUAAGUCGAAAACAGACUGUACGUUUCAAGUACCACUCGGGUAACGUAGAAGGCUAAUAGAAGAAGUCAUGCAGUGUCAUUGUUAGCAGACAAUAUCGCAGAUGGUUAAGUUUCUCCUCGCUAAUACUUCUGAUUCAUUGAAACCGUUGAAAAGCAGCGCUCCAUAUACCUUUCAUCUUGCAUCUUUACAUUCCAUUUUGACGAUACUUUGGCCAACAUAUUCAUUUUUUCGAUUUAUAAGUAUUAUUUUUAUUUGCUUUUGCCUACCAAAAUCGAUUAACGCUACAAUACAAUUUCGACGAGCGUACAUGAAUUUCAUUUAUUCGAUACGAUAUAAAACAAGAAAGAGCAUAAAAUAGUCAAUAUCAUUGAAAAUAAACGAUUGUUAACAAACACAGCGUAAUGGAAUUUUGUUCUUUUUCAACUAUUUACGAAAAUGUUUACCUGUUUGCGCGUAUAUUACGCUAUAUUAGGCAUAUAGACGUAUUCCGAAAACUUUAUUUGCGAUAUAUUUAAAUUUACAAUAAAAUGUUAAUCACAUAUAGAUACAUUUGAAUCGAACGAAACAAACGAUCGUAUGAUUGAU